rnacentral:lncRNA from 10 species
UUUCAAGUAUGCAAAAGCCACAUGUGGGUACCAUGUUGAACCAACAGCUCUAGCAAGACAAAGUGGAGGAGGAUAAUCCAGCCAAGUAGAGAUCAGUUAAAAACAGAGGACAACAAACAACCAAGCCUGAGGGAGAAGCCCUAAAAACAAGGAUGAAGAACUAGGAGGUCUCAGAUCAUGGGUCUGAUGCAGAGGAACCUGGACUUUAUGCUGUUGGCACAAAUGUGAAAAAGGAUACUGGGGAUGACAGCUGCGCAAGAAACGGCAGAGAUGACCAUCCGUAUGUGGCAUGUCGAGAGACUGUUCCACUGGGGACAUGAUUUGUAAGAGAUGAUGGACUGUAGGAGCGUGUACACGACACCACA